UGUGGUAAGCAGUGACUGCUGCUACUGGCCUCCAGGACACACAGAUACUUGAGUGAUCAGACCGAACCACGCUCACACUGCUCACACGUAGACUAGCUGGAUAUAUGGGGAAAAAAUACAAGAUGUGUGUAUAUGGCAGUAACCAGCACGCUGUACCGAGUGUCAGGGAGAAGAGACUGCAGAAGCACUCGUCUUUCACUGCCUGGCAACAACACCUACAAGGAAAGUCCCCCCCCCAAGCCUACAUUACCCAUGAUGCACCACAAACCACUAAGUAAGAUGAGUGUAGGACACGUGGUACUGCAGCACAUGAGCAUUAGGAGGAACCCAGCUGACCAGCAUACUGACUGCAGUCUCUUCAGAGAUGGACACACUCGUGGGACCUCCCCCAUACACUGAAGCAA